rnacentral:rRNA from 1 species
CAGUAGCCGCGGUAAUACGUAGGUGGCAAGCGUUGUCCGGAAUUAUUGGGCGUAAAGGGCUCGCAGGCGGUUUCUUAAGUCUGAUGUGAAAGCCCCCGGCUCAACCGGGGAGGGUCAUUGGAAACUGGGAAACUUGAGUGCAGAAGAGGAGAGUGGAAUUCCACGUGUAGCGGUGAAAUGCGUAGAGAUGUGGAGGAACACCAGUGGCGAAGGCGACUCUCUGGUCUGUAACUGACGCUGAGGAGCGAAAGCGUGGGGAGCGAACAGGAUUAGAUACCACUGUAGUCCCUGUCUCUUAUAU